AUACGGAGGAUGCGAGCGUUAUCCGGAUUUAUUGGGUUUAAAGGGAGCGUAGGUGGGAUAUUAAGUCAGCUGUGAAAGUUUGGGCUCAACCUUAAAAUUGCAGUUGAUACUGGUUUCCUUGAGUACGGUACAGGUGGGCGGAAUUCGUGGUGUAGCGGUGAAAUGCUUAGAUAUCACGAAGAACUCCGAUCGCGAAGGCAGCUCACCGGGCCGGAACUGACACUGAUGCUCGAAAGUGCGGGUAUCAAACAGGAUUAGAUACCCUGGUAGUCCGCACAGUAAACGAUGAAUACUCGCUGUUUGCGAUACACUGUAAGCGGCCAAGCGAAAGCGUUAAGUAUUCCACCUGGGGAGUACGCCGGCAACGGUGAAACUCAAAUGAAUUGACGGGG
rnacentral:rRNA from 1 species